CCGUUUGUGAUUGUCUUUUAUGAGGGUAUGUGUAUUGAUUUUUUUUUUUUUUACUUUUGCUCUUUUUCCUGAAGUAAAUUGAUCUGUUUGCAACGUUAAUUCCUAUCAACAAACAAGACCAUUAAUUUCAAAAAAUUUUGUGGCGUAUUUCUUUGAAGUUUAACGUUUGCUUGAUUUCGCAUCUUUACCUGACACGCAGAUUAAACUUUCUACCAUUUGCGUAAUGCAAGUGACAGUUUCUAUAGUUAAAUUGAUCGUAUUUUUUUUUAAAAAAAUGUCGCUUCAAGUGAGUCGCAUGGUGGAAAAAAGUUGCAGCCACCUUAGAUAUUUAAAACGUAAGAUGUUUUCGUGAAGUUCAUAGCUAGGUUCUACCCUCAUUCCCGAGGGUUCCGACUAAGUGUUACCUUGAUUACAAGAAAUUGAUCACAGUCUCUUAAAGGACGGUUUUCAUGAAUUUAUGUUUUGGGGACCAAUUAAGUAUAAUUUCCUUGUUAAACAGUCGAUCAAAUACCUGUUUUUUUUUACAACAAUUUGCUGAUACUAUAUUACUUUUUUGUUUUUUUUCUUAUAUUCGUAAUUGGUUUGCCUAUUGUUUACACUUUUUAACAAAAUUACUGAUUUCGAAUUAAUUAAAAUUUUCAACUUUUGGAAACUUUAAAAAGACAAAAAAAAUGAAGUAAAUGAUAAAG